rnacentral:rRNA from 1 species
AGCCCUUAAAAUUAUUAAAGGUGAUGCCUGCCCAGUGAUCAAUAACUUAUACUAUAAAAUAGUAAAAAAUAGAAUAAACGGACGCGGUAUACUAACCGUGAUAAUGUAGCAUAAUCACUCGCCAUUUAAUUGAUGGAUAGUAUGAAUGGCGAAACGAAUAUAACACUGUCUCAAAUAAAGAUUUUACAAAAUUAAAAUAAUAGUAAAGAUCCUAUUUUAAACUGUAAGACGAAAAGACCCUAUAGAGCUUAACUAUAACUUUAUCCUUAAAAAUAAAGAUAGAUAGUUUAGUUGGGGUGACUACCUUUUAAAAAAAACAAAGGUAAACAAAGUUAAUUAAAUAACUUAUUGUAUAAUAAAUAUAUUUAACAAUUACUAAAGUAGGAAAUAAUGACCCGCUAUGAUUUCAAAGUAAACAUAACGAUUAAUAAAUAAAAGCUACCUUAGGGAUAACAGGAUAAUCUUGUUUUAGAGAUCACAUCGAAAACAAGGUUUGUCACCUCUAUGUUGAAUUAAGAUAUCCAAAAAGUGCAGAAGCUUUUAAAGGUUGGUCUGUUCGACCAAUAAAAUUUU